rnacentral:misc_RNA from 1 species
CGGUGGGGUAACCUUUUAGGAGCCAGCCGCCUAAGGUGGGACAGAUGAUUAGGGUGAAGUCGUAACAAGGUAGCCGUAGGAGAACCUGCGGCUGGAUCACCUCCUUUCUAAGGAAUUAAUCGGAAACCUACACAUUGUCGAAACUUUGUUAGUUUUGAG